UGACAAGAAUGCUGUGCCCAUGAUACUCAGUGUCCUGGGCUAUAUAUAUAUUUUUGCUGAUGUGUGCCUGUUUGUCAGCGAUCAUAAUUAUACCGUAUGUGCUGUGUGUGACUGUCGGAUCUGUGCUUUGCACCUUGGCCCUGGAGGAAGACUGUUUUGUUUGGCUGUAUUCAUGGUUCCAUUGGGUUUCUGGUUUUGUGGCUGCUUGUAAGGAGAAGAAUUUCAAGAAGUGGUUUGCCAUUGCUUUCUUGUGGGCAGAGUUUUUACAAGACGGGUGACCCCAGUAAUUAUCGAUACUCUUCAGCGCUCGUCUCUCUGGCGUCAGUGGUCACAUAACCAGGACAUGUCAUCUGCACCAGCUGAUCGUACGACCGUCCACCAUCUGCUCCCAUGGCUUCACAUGACCCUGAUUGGGGAGCUAAGCAGGUGCUGCACCUGGCCCAAAGGUGAUCUGCAGGCUAGCAGAGGGAAGGGUCACCUUGUACCUCCUUUGGUAGAAAUGUACGUAUCUCCAUGCUGACACCUUGGCUUUAGUGUUGGCCUGCAAGAAAAUGAAUCUCAUGGUAGUAUAUGGUGACAUAUAGCAUACUGUGAAAAAGUCUUAGACACAUAUAUGAUGCUCCAUGUUGCCUUUCUCAACAUCCUUUGCUUCUGCCAGAUUUACAACCUCACACUUGCUCCACAUUGACAAAUACAGUAUUGUGUGAAAGUCUUCGUCACCCUUGCCCGAAACAUCAACUCUACACUUUUCUUAGAUGUUGCCUGACCUGCUGACGUCCUCCAGCAUAUGUGUGCAUUUACAGUAAAUACAAAGAAACAGAACAGAAUCAAUGAAAAACUGCACACAACAAAGACAAACAACCAACAUGCCAAAGACAACUAACUGUACAAAUACAAAAAAGAGAGAAAAAACAAGAUAAUAAUAAAUAACUAAGCAAAAAAAAUGUGAACUGAAAUAUGCCUUUACAUGUUGUGUUUUGUAUUCUGUUCAUUUCUUUUGUUGCCACUUGCAUGAUUUUUUUUGUGUAGGGGGUGAAUGGGGUUUGAUGUUUUCCUUUGACUGGGUUGGUUCGAUGGUUCUUUGUUUUGUGACUCUGUGGGGAAUAUGAAUUUCAGGGUU